CAGUGAGAUAUAUUGCCCUCAGUAAUUAUCCAGUAUUUUUUAGAUGCCAGCAACAACUUAUCAUGCUGUAGCUGCAGAAUCCGUAUAAAUGAUUUCCGAUCCGGUUCAUAGUCCAUUCAACUUCACCAAUCUCUAUACCGAGUGUAAGAGAUAUGGUUGCAAAAACGAGGUCAAGCGUGGGAAGGUCUGCAGCAAAUGCGGGAUGAAGAACUGAAAGCGCGCAGAUGUUACUCUGAGGAACUACGUCGUCCUUGUGUGAAUUUGUUUUAGUCGGCCGCUUGGCUUGUUCACCUUCAAAAAUCAACAGGCUGAUACGGUCUAUGUGACUCUCAAGGGACGCGUUUUGCAUAAUUCAUACGCUCUACCUCAGAUCCAAUCAAACGCCAUUGAGAAAUGGGUAUAUCGGCAGUUAUUGGGAAAGAAAUUCAGAAGGCACAUUGACAUCUCAGUAUUAGUUAUAAUGAAGAACACACGUGGGAAUUAACACCAACCUCCCGACUUUGCCCAGAAUCACAAUUUCGCAACUAGACCCUGCUCAAUUUCCUUCUUCGCCUCCUCCCGGAGCAGCCUCUUCAAAAUCUUCCCACUCGCAUUCUUGGGAAUCGAACUGACAAACUUCACACCACCAGUCAAAUACUUGUACCUAGCUAGCUUCGCCCCCGCAAACUCCUGCAGCUCCUUUUCUGUCAACUUCUGACUGGCUGGGCCAGGCUGACGCACGACAUAAGCGCGCGGGUGUUCAAUUUUCUCCUUCUCGCCCCC
rnacentral:sRNA from 1 species